rnacentral:misc_RNA from 1 species
UUUCCGUAGGUGAACCUGCGGAAGGAUCAUUAUUUAUAACCGAGGUGCGAGGGCUGUCGCUGACCCGAAAGGUCGUGCACGCCCGAGUGCCCUCACACACAUCCAUCUCACCCCUAUGUGCACCACCGCGUGGGUCCCCCUUUGGCUUGUUCGGAGGGGGGCUUACGUUUUCACACAAACUCUGUAUGCAGUGUGGAAUGUAUUUUUUGUUUUUGCGAUCACGCAAUCAAUACAACUUUCAACAACGGAUCUCUUGGCUCUC